AGAGGUUUUUCCAUUUGGUUCGUGUAAGUAGAGGGAAAAAGUCGUGCGGCUAGUCGACUAGUGCGCACCAUGGCGGGGGAUAGCCGAAACUUGCUGCAGACUUUGCUUGAUCCAACAUAUAGACACCGUAGGGCCAUGUACUGUAACCUGUCAGGCUGUCAGCAGCAAAAGUGAAACCUGUUUGAUUUCUUAAGUGUUUAAAAUGACAAAAGCUUUUUGUUUGAUAUGUUCAACUUAUCGAAAAAAAAGAGAUCGCCGAAGUUUUUUCAAAGUGCCAGAAUGCAACAUUUACAGUAAUUCAAUUGAGAAAGAACUCAUUGAAAGAAGAAGAGCCGAGUGGUUGAAGUUGAAAAAAAGGAAUUAUAAUAUAUCCAAACUAUUUGUUUGCUCUGAUCAUUUUGUUUCAGGGAAACCUGCAUAUGUGUAUAAAACUGAAGACAUAGACUGGGUUCCUACUAAGAAUCUCAAAACUCAACCAGACAAUGUUCCGUCAUCAUUGAAUUGAACCUAACCUGUGUAUUAGUAAUGAAGAAAGUUGAAUUACUAUAAUUAUCUUGAUAACAUUCUGAAUGUAAACAACAAUAACAUUUUGGUUGUACGUACCCUGCAAUACAAUCACAAAAAGCAACAA